rnacentral:rRNA from 1 species
UCUUUAUGGGAGGGUGGUGAUAUAGUAGUGUUUAUUAGAUACAGAACCAACACAUCAUUAUUAUCAUUCUAUGAUGAUAGUGAUGUAAAAUAAGGUGAUUCAUAGUAACCGAACGGAUCGCAUUAUAAUUAUCAUUAUUUGAUGAUUGGCGAUAGAUCAUUCAAGUUUCUGACCUAUCAGCUUUCGACGGUAGUGUAUUGGACUACCGUGGCAGUGACGGGUAACGGGGAAUUAGGGUUCGAUUCCGGAGAGGGAGCCUGAGAAACGGCUACCACAUCUAAGGAAGGCAGCAGGCGCGCAAAUUACCCAAUCCUGACUCAGGGAGGUAGUGACAAGAAAUAACAACACUGGAWAUUUGAUUUCUAGUGAUUGGAGUGAUGGGAAUCCAAACCCCUUUCAGAGUAACAAUUGGAGGGCAAGUCUGGUGCCAGCAGCCGCGGUAAUUCCAGCUCCAAUAGCGUAUAUUAAAGUUGUUGCAGUUAAAAAGCUCGUAGUUGGAUGUCUGUUGGAAGCAAUCAUCAGUCCGCCCUAUUUGAUUAGGGUGGGAAUAUGAUGAAUUCCGGCAUAAUUGUCUCCCUAUUAUCAAUAUAUAAGAUGAUCAUUAUUAGAUUCAUUUCUAAUAAUGCGUCUACUAUAUUAUUGGUAGUAUGGGAGAAAUGUUACUUUGAGAAAAUUAGAGUGUUUGAAGCAGGCUUUUGUUGCCUAUGAAUACUGCAGCAUGGAAUAACAAUAUAGGAUUUCGGUUCUAUUUUGUUGGUUUUUUUUAGGACUGAAAUAAUGAUUAAUAGGGACAGUUGGGGGCAUUCGUAUUAACUGUCA